GAUGAACGCUGGCGGCGUGCCUAAUACAUGCCAGUCGAGCGAACAGACGAGGAGCUUGCUCCUCUGACGUUAGCGGCGGACGGGUGAGUAACACGUGGAUAACCUACCUAUAAGACUGGGAUAACUUCGGGAAACCGGAGCUAAUACCGGAUAAUAUAUUGAACCGCAUGGUUCAAUAGUGAAAGACGGUUUUGCUGUCACUUAUAGAUGGAUCCGCGCCGCAUUAGCUAGUUGGUAAGGUAACGGCUUACCAAGGCGACGAUGCGUAGCCGACCUGAGAGGAUGAUCGGCCACACUGGAACUGAGACACGGUCCAGACUCCUACGGGAGGCAGCAGUAGGGAAUCUUCCGCAAUGGGCGAAAGCCUGACGGAGCAACGCCGCGUGAGUGAUGAAGGUCUUCGGAUCGUAAAACUCUGUUAUUAGGGAAGAACAAAUGUGUAAGUAACUAUGCACGUCUUGACGGUACCUAAUCAGAAAGCCACGGCUAACUACGUG
rnacentral:rRNA from 1 species